AGGCAGACAAAAUUCUUCAUCUCUGUCCAGUAUGGCAACAUCACACAAGAAAUCAUCACAUUUGGUGGGAUUAGGAGGAAGCAGUCACUCCUCAUCCCCCAUUAAAAUGCCUGAGGUUGAUCCGAUUGAUGUCGCAGCCCACUUGCAGCUUCUGGGUGAAUCAUUGAGUCUCAUAGGUCACCGAUUGCAAGAAACUGAGGGGAUGGUGGCAGUGUCUGGGAGUCUCUCUGUCCUGUUGGAUUCCAUCAUCUGUGCACUUGGUCCCUUAACUUGCCUCACUGCGCAGGUUGAUUGUCUCAAUGGCUGUCCAAAAGAAGUCCUGGCCCAUACUCUGGAUAACAUUGCUUAUAUCAUGCCAGGCCUUUGACCUUUAAGGACUGUUGGAACUGGAAGAAUAGCAGAAAACUGAAUAAUAUAUUGUCCAUAAAAACUUGGCUGUGGAGGAACACAUUUGUUCUGUACCCUUUCCCAUAGUAUUGUAAUUAUUAUUGAAUGGGGUGAAAGCCUGGUUUUAAACAUUCAAGACAAGGUAAGCCAGAUACCGGAGGCUCAGUGGGAAGAAUACGAUUCACCAUAGAGGUUGUGGAUUGACCAGCCCUACGUGGGAUCACUUCAACACCAAAUAUGAAAACAAGCGCUGGAUCAUCUUGUGCUGAAACCUAAUUGUUAUCAGGGGUACAUGUCAUCUUGUAAGUCUGUAAUGUUUAAAAAUGUAUAUUAUAAUUUUUUUUGUUUUAGAACUGCGAAUCUGGAAUAAAAGAAAAAGUUAGAAAUAUGUAACUACUCAGUUGCCCACUGAAACAAGAAAAUGCAGUGUUCUAAUGGAAGCACAGAUUCAUAGGUGCCAAACCUACAUUUAACUUUUAGGUGCUCAACUACCUGUUAUAUAUUUGCAGUGUCCUUUCUAUUUCAAUUGAAUUAUAUCAUAUCAUUGAAAAUGCAGUUUCUGUUGUUUCACAGCAGUUCCUAUUCUGUCCUCGGUACAUUAACUUGGUUUCAUUCUCCCAUGGAUUCUUUUUGAUGCAGAUACUCGAGUAUGGAUCCAUUGCUUUGAGCACAGCUUGUGAGGGUUGUAAUUAAUUUUCCCAUUCCACACUUGAUUCUCUGCAUAGACUGCCCUCAUACAGAAUCAUAGGAUUUACCUUACACUUGUUUUAGACAAGCAAAGCCUUGUAAAAUUUUGUCUCUUUGUCCAUUACCUUUUAGCCCUUACCCUUUCCUUUCCUGAACAACUUUGACAAAUACUUGGGUAAUUGUUCUUGGUUUUAUUUAUUCGCUCACAGGCUGUGGGAAUCGCUGGCUAGGUCAGCACUUAUUCUCCAUCUCUAAUUAUCCUGGAGAAGCUAGUGAGUUUGCCAUCUUCCUGAACCAUUGUACAAGACCUUCAUAGUACUGUUUGGGAGGGAGUUCCAGGAUUUUGUCCUAGUGACACUUAAGGAACGGCAAUAUACUUCUAAAUUAGGGUGGUGUGUGGUUUGGAUAGGAAUUGCAAGUGAUGGUGUUCCCAUAUAUCUGCUGCCCUUAUCUCUUAGAUGGUGCAGGUCACAGAUUUGGAAAGUGCUGUCAAAGGAAGUGAGUCUGGACAUUCGGUGUUAAGAUCAGAGUAUUUUGUUAAGCUAUUCCUGUCCUACCCUUUUUCCAACUCAUUGCAAAAAUUUCCUGUUCAGGUAUUUAUUGAAUUUGCUUCCAUGUGCUUUUAGGCAGUGCAUUUCAGAUCACACCUAACUGCAUUAAAAAAAAUUGAAUCGUUUGGCAAUCUGUGUGCCCUCUGACACCUGUCACUGGAAACAAUUUCUCUCAUUUAAUUUUAAUACUUCAUUACUGCCCCAGUAGUUUCUUUGUAUGAACAUGUUAUUGUACUAACCAGAUAGCAUUAAAAUAAUGUUUUUAGUAAUGGAGAGUAAUUACCUGCCCAUUGGAAGUAAACUGGUUCUGUAUGUGCUCUAAAGAAUCAUGUUGGACUCAAAAUAUUAACUUUGUUUCUCUCACCACACAUGCUGCCAAAGUUGUUGAGUUUCUUCAUAACUUUUUUUCUUGAGUUACUCUGUAGCUGGUUUUCAGUUCAGGAUUCAGUUCAAUACAGAUGGUAGCUUCAGACAUUAUGCUUAAUCUUUACUUAAGCACCUUGGGAAUAUUUUACCACAAAGAUGCUCUACAAAUACAAAUUGUUGGAAGAAAAGUAACACCAUACCUUUGCUUUGCUGUAUUUUCAGUUCUUUAGUGUAGGGUAAUGCUGUCUUUGAGGCCACUCUGUAGCAGCUUUUCAGAAAUGAGUACCAUCUCAUGUCAAAUACAGUCAUCAUCAAGAAAAUUUCUCUGCAUGGAGAGUUUGUGCGUGAGCCAGUAAUUGUGCAUCUGUACCAUAGUUUAAAAUUGCACAAUAAAACUGUGGUGAUUUUGUCAAAUUAGCUGAGACAUUCAGAACAAGGUUUGAAAAAUUCAGUGACAAUUUGCCUUUCAUACAAUGACUUUUAAUAUAACAAUGCUGUGUUGUUCUUCCAUUUGUUUGCAGGCAGGGCUGUAGUGUGGACACAGUUGAUUUGUAAUUUUUGCAGUAGUUCUGCAGUAGUCAUAUACAAAAGUCUUCCAGAGCUCAACAGGUUAAAUGCAGGAAGGAUAUCCCUCGUGGUUAGUGUUGGUGAGAAUUUAGGAGGGCGGGCGGGGGGGGAGGAAUUAAAAUGAGUAGAAUCCCUGCAGUGUGGAAGCAGGCCAUUCAGCUUGUCGCAUCCACACUGACCCUCUGGAGAGCAUCCCAUCCAGACCCACCUCCCUAUGGCUAAUCCACAUAGCCUGCACAUCCCUAGAUACUAUUGGGCAAUUUAGCAUGGCCAGUCCACCUAAUCUGCACAUCUUUGGACUGUAGGAGGAAAUCGGAGCACCUGGAAGAAACUUGUGCAAACCGCACCUGGGGGUGGAAUUGAACCUGGGUCCCUGGUGCUGUGAGACAGCAGUGCUAACCAUUGACCCACCGUGUCGCCCGAUACAUCCAAUCAGUGAACAUAGUCUCAGAAUAAAAGGGUGAGACAUUUGGGACUGAGAUAAGGAGGAAUUUCUUCACUGGAGAAAUUGAAUCUUUGAAAUUCUGUACCUCCAGAUAGCUGUGAAGGUUCAGUCAUUGAAUCUGUUCAAGAUCGGGAUGAAUAGAUUGCUCAAUAAUAAAGAUAUUAAGAGAUGUGGGGAUUGUGCAUAAAAAUGGUGUUAAGGUCAAGAAUAUUGGAUCAGGCUGAAAAGGAGUGGAAUGGCUUACUCUUGCUUCUCUUUUCUAUGUUCCUAUCAUUAGGAAACCAUAAAUUAUUUUGACACUCGGGGCAGGCAAUUGUAAGUACGCAGUGAGAUUUGAGUAUGAGUACAGCCAACUAUCUAUUACCAGAAUCACAUAUUAUUUGGAGAAUUGCUCACUGAAUCACAACAUGAAUCUAGUUCUGUUGUGCCAUGACUUCAGUUACCGUUGUGAUUUUAAUGAGCAAAUUUUAAAUAUUCCUUCUCAUAUACCUUAUCCGUGAGGAGAUGGAAAAUAUGUACAGUUCCAUUAAAUAUUUGCACUGUCAGUUAUCCCUGAACACAUUUUAAAGGGUUAAAUACCAUUCAGAGAAGAUGUUUCUUUUAAAGUGUUGUGAUUUAUUUUAUUUUCAUCCAGUUUAAUUACAGGGGUGAGUUAGAUUUCCUGUGACAUGAGCCUGCUUGUGCUGCCCUAUCCUUGUUCCUUCACUGUCAUUGGAUCAAAUUCCUGCACCUCCCUCAUACCACAGUGUGUGUAUCUAUACCCCCUGGACUAUAGCAAUUCAAGAAUUCAGGGGCAAUUAGGGAUGGGCAACAAAUGCUGACAUUGACAGCAUUGCUCGCAUUCCCAUAACACAUCGAUUUUUUUUUUUUUUUAAGAAGCAAUCUUUCCAAUGACCAGAUGAACAUUUUGACAGAUUGGGCAGUUCUGAAUAUUUGAAUGGAAAUAUAAACUUGUCCAGUUCUAGGAUGACCCUUCAUAAGCACACAAACUGACUGCAAUGUAAUCAGUCUAAACCAAAGCAACACACCUUUCCAAAACAACUGGCUGGCCUCUUUACAACUGAUAUCUAAAGAAAUGAGAGUAGGAGUAGGCCAUUCAAUCCCUUGAGUCUGUUACGUGAUUCAACAUCAUUGUGGCUGAUCAGAUUGCAAUGUCAACUCCACUUUCCUGCCUAUUCCCCAAAAUGGUGAAGUCUCCAUUGCUGUCAGGGAAAAGAAAUCCUAGGCUGACCAACUCUGAGCGAAAACAAAUCCUCCUUGUAUCUAUCUUAAAAGGGAAAGCUUUUGUUUUUAAAUUUGUUCUGGACACUCUUGCAAGGCCAAACAUUCUCUCAGCAUCUUCCUUGUCAGAUUCCCUCAGGAUUGUACGUUUCAAGAAGAUAAACACCCGUUCUUCCAAAUUCAUGCUACAUUUUAGGUACAAAGAUUUGGUUUGGAUGAAACUCUGCGCCCAACUUGCUGAACUCUGGUUUAUUCACUGAGCAAAGACGUUCGAUUGUUUGGGCAAUCAGUGAGAAAUUAAACAGGAACAGGAGGAGGCCAUUCAAUUCUUCAAUCUUGUUCCACCCAUCCAAGCUGCAGCUAAAUUAGAAGUUAUAAAUUCAAGUCAUGUAAAUGUGUGCCUCAUAACCCAAAACAGGUCUCUGAAACUGUUUCUUCAUGUCUAAUUGCACUUGUUUUUUCACCUCUGUGAUCAGAAUUUGGAUGCAGCUCAGAUGAACUACUUCUUUGUUUCUUCUGGUUAACAGAUCAUGGAGAUGGCAGCUGAGGGAAUAGAAAAUGUCAAAAUCUCAAACAGCAGAGGGUGUUGUUGGAGCUGAGUAACAGGAUCUUUACUGUAUCUGCCCAUUUGCCCUUGCUCCCUGCUUGAUCUGUCCAUUACUCUUGACUGUAUCUUCCCUGAUAAGACAUGCUUCUACUGCGUGCCAGAAACAUAAUGUACCUCACCCUGAUGAGCUCAAAUCAUACACUAGGCCACAGUCCUCUUUGACACAUGUUGAGCCCAAUUUUCACCCCUUUCUGAGAGAAAACCAUGGGUCACUGGACCUAUUUUAUCUUCAACAUGAAUACAGAGCUGUCUUAUUGUUCAGACUGUUUUCCUUUCUACUAUUGCUUUAGGACCAUGAUGAACUAAUUUCCAAAACCUGUCCUCCCAAACACAGGUUGGAUGUUGCCAUUAAAAUUUAUGUUUGUUUUUCCAAAAAUAAAAGAAAAUGUGUAAAGAUUUAGAAUGUUUGCUUUUUUUAAAAAAACACCUUGAAAUUUCCUAAGUGUUUUUUAAGCUGUCUUUAGUUGAGCAAUGUAAACCGUAGCUGUGUUGUAUGUAAUACCAUAUAAAAGAUCAUGAGUUUUUAUA